CCCUUAGAUGUCCGGGGCUGCACGCGCGCUACACUGAAGGAAUCAGCGUGCGGGUUUACCUGGCUCGAGAGAGCUGGGCAAUCCGGUGAAAAUCCUUCGUGAUUGGGAUCGGGACUUGCAAUUAUUUCCCUUGAACGAGGAAUCCCUAGUAAGUGCAGGUCAUCAGCUUGCGUUGAUUACGUCCCUGCCCUUUGUACACACCGCCCGUCGCUGCCCGGAACUGAGCCGUUUCGAGAAAUGCGGGGACUGUUGACUUGCUGAUCGCAAGGUUGGCUUGUCGGUGGAAACCGUUUUAAUCGCAGCGGCUUGAACCGGGCAAAAGUCGUAACA
rnacentral:rRNA from 1 species